AAAAAUUCAAACAUUAGCUGGGCAUGGUGGCAUGCACUUGUGGUCCCAGCUACUCAGGAGGCUGAGGUGGGAGGAUUACCUGAGCCCAGGAGGUUGAAGCUACAGUAAGCAGUGUCUGUGCCACUACGCUCAGCCUGAGCAACAGAGCAAGACCCUGUUUCCCACCCCUACCCACCCCCUAAAAAAGCAAGCUGAAUUCUUGAACUCCCUGCAACCAGGUCACGCAAACCAAAGGUAAAAGGAACAUAAAAAAGCCUUCUGGAAAGUGUACAGAAAUUCAUUGCAGGGUGAUUUUUGUCUUGUGAAAUCAUAGUUACUGUUAUUAGCAGCUUUUUUAAAUGUUUUAUAUUCAUUUUUUAUGGUGUUCUGAUGUAUGAGCUGCUUCAAGUGUUUUUGGACAUAGCUUGGGUAUAAAAUGUAAAAAGUGGAUAUUUUCAAUUUGUAGCUUUCUUUUUUGAAACUUACUGAAAUUUGUUCUAAAUAUAUCCCCUUCUUUCUCACCCACCCCAACACAUUUUUUAAAAAACACCACCAGGUAUCCGUUAUAGCACUGAUGUGAGUGUAGAUGAAGUAAAAGCUUUGGCUUCUCUGAUGACAUACAAGUGUGCAGUGGUUGAUGUGCCGUUUGGGGGUGCUAAAGCUGGUGUUAAGAUCUAUCCCAAGAACUAUACCGAUAACGAACUGGAAAAGAUCACAAGGAGGUUCACCAUGGAGCUAGCAAAGAAGGGCUUUAUUGUCUUUGUAUCCAGACAAUUCUAGCCUCAUGGAAUGAGUUGAGGAGUGUUCCUUCCUCUUCUGUUUUUGGAAAAGCUUUUGAAAGGAGUCACGUAGCCUUUCUCUCUCCAGUCCACAGAUGUGGGGAUCUCAAGAAGCAGGCGUUCCUGGAACUGUUUCCCGUUCCUGUGCUUCUG
rnacentral:lncRNA from 1 species